rnacentral:rRNA from 1 species
UACGGAGGGUGCAAGCGUUAUCCGGAUUCACUGGGUUUAAAGGGUGCGUAGGCGGGCAGGUAAGUCAGUGGUGAAAUCUCCGGGCUUAACCCGGAAACUGCCGUUGAUACUACCUGUCUUGAAUAUCGUGGAGGUAAGCGGAAUAUGUCAUGUAGCGGUGAAAUGCUUAGAUAUGACAUAGAACACCCAUUGCGAAGGCAGCUUACUACACGAUCAUUGACGCUGAGGCACGAAAGCGUGGGGAGCAAACAGG